UCUACUCUCAAUUAUAUGACCCUUAACAUUGAAUGUUUUCCAAAUUUGUAAAGGGAACUGAGGAAAAAAGCUAUAUUUACCAUACCUGGCACUUUAGCAAGCUCAUUAGCCAUACUUUUCGGAGUUAUGACUGGACUUGUUCACCGGGAUGAUAGGGACCUGACACCAAUCAACAUUUCAGGUCUUCUUGUUUAAAAUGUUUGCUAUCCAUAAAUAAUUGGUUUGAUCAAAGAUUAAUGGACCAGUAUAUAUAUAGAGAGAGAAAGAUUGAAGGUAUAAGAAAUGAGUAAAUAAAGUAGAAGGAGAUUGAGUACCUUCCAAAUGUUAGCACCUUAUCUUGUGGGAGAGAAAUUUAAGAGUAUUGAAUUUUUAGCUUUGAUGUUGGCAGUCUGG
rnacentral:lncRNA from 1 species